GCCAAAAACGAAUGACCCUGUGUGCAACACAUGUUGAACUAUCACGCAAAGUACUAUAUAGAUGGUACCUAGUCCCCAUGCGCCACAAACACAGUUACCCGAAUACAUCAGACACCUGCUGGAGGUGCCAAACUCAAAAAGGCACGAUGCUGCAUACCUGGUGGCAAUGUGACAAACUCCAGACCUACUGGCAAGACGUUCAAAAUCUCGCACAAAAAUUCAACUCAGGCCGGAAACAUUUC